CAAGUUCGGCUAGGCGGCGGCUAGGCGGCGACUAGGCGCGCCUAAUCGCUAAUCGCUGGGCUGCCGCGUAGCCUAGGGCGUUGCGCGGUGUCUAGGCGGGCGCAUCGCCUAGGCGGCGCUCAGCCGCGCCUCCGCGGCGAUUUUGCGGCGUGCAAGCGCCGAAGGCGGCCGCGUAGGCGGGCGGCCCGGCUGCGCUGCCGAUUUUUUCGGCUGCCAGCGGAAGCGCGCGCUACACCCGCGUCGGGCGCGGGAAAAUCCACACGCCGCGCGGGAAGAAUACCUUCGCGUCGGGCCAUCCUGCUCCCGCUCGCGCUAAUCCCGCUCGCGCUCCCGCUCGUCCUCCUCCGCGGCUCCACCUGCGACGCGCGCCGGAGGAAGUUCAGCCGCCGGCCUCCCUCCUCCCUGCCGGGCCUGCUUCCUGCCAGUGCCGGGCCUGCUGUCGACGGCGCACCCCUUCCCGCCGGCCACCCCACUCCCCAAGAGCUUUUGUUACCGAUGUGGAGAAACUAAGAAUCCACAGCAAAGGAAGAGCACUGCGUGUUGCUGAUGUUAUUGGAUUUUUUUCAGAAAUCACAGAGACUUGGAUACAAGAGAAAGGAUGUCAUCAGAAACUGCAGCUGCACCUUCUGAAACUGAAGCAGCUAGAGCGAAUCUCCUAAAAAGAAAUUCAGAUGAUGUUGGAUGGGAAUAUGGUGUUCUUGUUGAUGCUAACAACAAAGACAAGGUGAAGUGUAAGUUCUGUGACAAGGAGAUGAGGGGAGGGAUUUAUAGGUUGAAGGAGCAUCUUGCCCAUGUUGGAAAGAAUGUGAAGAAAUGCACGUCUGCAACACCGCAGGCUCUAGAGGCUAAAGAGAAGUGCAAGAAAGCAA